GGGUACUUUAAUUCCCAAUUUUGUUAAUGAGGCGGCGGAGUCUUUCAGAGGUGAAGAAUCUUGGUCAAGGUCACAAGUUUCUAAAUGACAGAAGUUCAAAAAUCCAAGCUAUUAGCCAAAGUUCUACUUUGCCUCCAGGAUCAAAAGGGGGAAAAAUGUGGAAGUACAUUCAGAGAAGCAAACAGGAAGACAUGGUGAAGACUUCAAAUCCGCUAGAACUUUCCAUCCCUCCUGAUGCUUUCUCAUCAGUAUCUCCCCAUGCCUGAGUUUUUUGGAUUCUUCAGUGGGAAGAUAAGAGGGUACACUACAGUAUGGCAAGACAGGAAAUUUAUGGGUUUGGGGCUCAUUACAGACCAACUCACUCAGUGCCACAGACUAUGUGAGCUUAGGGUUUGGAGCAGCACCUUAAAAAUCACACAGUCCUGCGGCAAUCAGUCCUUCCUGUUCUCAGCCUCUCAACUGCCAAUCACUCUCCACCCUGCCCCGACAAAGAGGUCUUUUAAAAUUCAUUUCUACUUAAAAAGAAAACAAAACUUUUCUAUGACUUUACUGGAUGCCUGAAGAAUCCUCAAUAUGCCUGCUCAGCCCACUGCAAUCUACAGCUCCAAUGUGCAAUCGCUGUUUUGUAUAGUAAGCUAGAACUAUCUUCCCAGACUUUUCUUUUCUACCUAAUUCUGAUUAGGAUUAGCCAUGGAUACAGUUGCUUCAGAAGAGACUAAAGCAGAACUGAUAAUAUUUGAAAUGUUUCUCAUGAAAAGCUACGGAAUGGGAGAACAUGAACACAUCAGAUGUCUGUUACUAAUGUGUACACAGUAUGAACGAUGGACCAGGUGCUGGUCUAAAUCCCUUACACAUAUUAACUCAUUUCUGGCAAGGAUGCAUUGCAUUAGUCCUCCUGUGAUUUCUUAUUCCCUCUUGUUUCCCAUGUAGAAACAGUUUAAUCCCUUUGCCUCAGAUCACCCAGUAAAGAAGAGAGCAGGGUUUGAACUCAGACUUUCAGACUUUGUAAAGCAAACUUGUCACCAGUACUAUAAUUAUAUGCUCUAGGAGCUUUAACAGAGAGAUUCUAUCUCCCUAAAUGAGAUAUAGAAAAAAAUAACCUCUUUUUGUAUGGAUAAGUAACUGGAAUUUUUAGCCUUUUUAUUAGCCUCAGGAUAAAGCAGAAACUCAAAGAAUACAAAACUGAUAGAAACUCAAAAAAUUAAUUAUACGCUACUGAUGUUCGUAUGUGUGAGUGAUAAACAUUUGCCUGUCACUUUUCAGUUGACUAGAGCUUUCCUUGACAUCAAAGUGUACCAUCACUGUGCCAUGGCACAGUCAGAAUGGUAGAGGUUUUGCUGCAGUAACAAGUGAUCCUGUCCUAUAUGAUCAUUGCUAGUUGGCCAUGGCGUUGCUCCAUGCAGUCUUCACUCCUGAACCCAAGAAGAUCUGGAAUAUUGCCAAUUCCUGUAGUAGACGGAAUGUGUACAUCAAAGCAAUCUUCAAUAGAAGAACAAAGCUAGAGACAUCACACCACCUGACUUCCAAAUACUCUUCAAAGCUGUAAUACCCAAAACAGCAUGGUACUGGCAUAAAACAGCAUAGAUCAAUGAAACAGAAUGGAGAUCCCAGGGAUAAAUCCAUAUAUCUACAGCUAACUGAUUCUUGACCAAGAUGCAAAGACCAAACAUGGGGGAAAGAAURGUCUUUUCAAUAAAUGGUGUUGGAAAAUUGGAUAUUCA
ensembl:lncRNA